rnacentral:rRNA from 1 species
GAUGAACGCUGGCGGCGUGCUUAACACAUGCAAGUCGAACGGUGAAGGCGGAGCUUGCUCUGCUGGAUCAGUGGCGAACGGGUGAGUAACACGUGAGCAAUCUGCCCCUGACUCUGGGAUAAGCGCUGGAAACGGCGUCUAAUACUGGAUACGAGCUGCGAAGGCAUCUUCAGCAGCUGGAAAGAACUUCGGUCAGGGAUGAGCUCGCGGCCUAUCAGCUUGUUGGUGAGGUAACGGCUCACCAAGGCGUCGACGGGUAGCCGGCCUGAGAGGAUGACCGGCCACACUGGGACUGAGACACGGCCCAGACUCCUACGGGAGGCAGCAGUGGGGAAUAUUGCACAAUGGGCGAAAGCCUGAUGCAGCAACGCCGCGUGAGGGACGACGGCCUUCGGGUUGUAAACCUCUUUUAGCAGGGAAGAAGCGAAAGUGACGGUACCUGCAGAAAAAGCGCCGGCUAACUACGUG